AUUGAACGCUGGCGGCAGGCCUAACACAUGCAAGUCGAGUGGAUGAAGGGAGCUUGCUCCUGGAUUCAGCGGCGGACGGGUGAGUAAUGCCUAGGAAUCUGCCUGGUAGUGGGGGAUAACGUCCGGAAACGGGCGCUAAUACCGCAUACGUCCUGAGGGAGAAAGUGGGGGAUCUUCGGACCUCACGCUAUCAGAUGAGCCUAGGUCGGAUUAGCUAGUUGGUGGGGUAAAGGCCUACCAAGGCGACGAUCCGUAACUGGUCUGAGAGGAUGAUCAGUCACACUGGAACUGAGACACGGUCCAGACUCCUACGGGAGGCAGCAGUGGGGAAUAUUGGGCAAUGGGCGAAAGCCUGAUCCAGCCAUGCCGCGUGUGUGAAGAAGGUCUUCGGAUUGUAAAGCACUUUAAGUUGGGAGGAAGGGCAGUAAGUUAAUACCUUGCUGUUUUGACGUUACCAACAGAAUAAGCACCGGCUAACUUCGUG
rnacentral:rRNA from 1 species